rnacentral:lncRNA from 1 species
AACUUCUGCACUAGUAAUAAGUGGUCAGUCCCUCCUUUAAACGUAGUCUGGAUAUUUGGUAAGCACAGGAACGGAUAAUCCCGUUCCAAGGGGCGGCGGCUCGGCUCCCGCCCGCAUCCGCGAGCGGGGCUCGGGGCGCGGGGGACGCGGGCUGCACCCGGGCGGCGGGGGCGCUGCGCCACCUCGAGGCCGGACCCUGCCGCCCGGGUCCUGGGUCCUGGUGCUGUCCCCCGGAGCGGACAGCGAGGCCGAGGCCCGCGGGAAGGCAGCCGGGCGCGCAGGGGCCGGGCGGCCGGCCUGCAGGCUGGCAGGGACGCGCUGGGGACCUGCGUGGGGAGCUAAGGGCCCAGGUGUUCAUAGGCCCCUUUACGUAAAGCAGUGUAAUUACACUGACCUUUGUCUAGAAGGUGGUGGCAUUGAUGAGGUCCCAGAUCGAUCCUCAUCCAGCCCAGUUUCCUUCAUUUGCUACUGCUGCCUCCUUCAGCUGCCUGAGCUGACGCACGUGUCUGGUCUUCAAGGGCUAUGGUUCGAAAACUCUGGUGAAUCCAUGAAAGGUCGUCAUCUCCCAAAGCAUAGUCAUCAUUUUUCUGGGCAAAUUAUCAAGACCAGCCUGUGUAUUUCAGCACCAGCCAGGAGCUGGAGGUAGGAGGUGAGUGGCUUGUACAUCAUCCCCAAAUUGACAUUUUCCACAGAUGAGCUCCAGUUAGCUGGUUAAAUUCUGCCAAGUUAUCAUUCUCACUUUUAAUGACUUCUUUAAUAAGACUUCUAAAGGGACCACCACGUAGAUGCUUCAAAAUGUGUUGCACAAUGCAAUGGGAAAGCCUUCUGCACCCUGAUAUGGAGAGAUCUGUAGAAUAGUUUAAGUGAGAAAG